rnacentral:tRNA from 16 species
GGGCCGUUAGCUCAGUUGGUAGAGCAGUUGGCUUUUAACCAAUUGGUCGCUGGUUCGAAUCCAGCACGGCCCACCA